rnacentral:rRNA from 1 species
GAUGAACGCUGGCGGCGUGCCUAAUACAUGCCAGUCGAGCGAACGGACGAGAAGCUUGCUUCUCUGAUGUUAGCGGCGGACGGGUGAGUAACACGUGGAUAACCUACCUAUAAGACUGGGAUAACUUCGGGAAACCGGAGCUAAUACCGGAUAAUAUUUUGAACCGCAUGGUUCAAAAGUGAAAGACGGUCUUGCUGUCACUUAUAGAUGGAUCCGCGCUGCAUUAGCUAGUUGGUAAGGUAACGGCUUACCAAGGCAACGAUGCAUAGCCGACCUGAGAGGGUGAUCGGCCACACUGGAACUGAGACACGGUCCAGACUCCUACGGGAGGCAGCAGUAGGGAAUCUUCCGCAAUGGGCGAAAGCCUGACGGAGCAACGCCGCGUGAGUGAUGAAGGUCUUCGGAUCGUAAACCUCUGUUAUUAGGGAAGAACAUAUGUGUAAGUAACUGUGCACAUCUUGACGGUACCUAAUCAGAAAGCCACGGCUAACUACGUG